AGUCUUAUAUUCAAUGAUGAUAUAAAAUUGCAAAUUUUAAGGGGUAUAAAUAAAAUACUAAGGCUU
rnacentral:tRNA from 1 species